rnacentral:ncRNA from 4 species
GGGGAUGUAGCUCAGAUGGUAGA